rnacentral:rRNA from 1 species
GACGAACGCUGGCGGCGUGCUUAACACAUGCAAGUCGAACGGUGAAGCGCCUUCCUUUUUGGUGGGUGUGGAUGAGUGGCGAACGGGUGAGUAACACGUGAGUAACCUGCCCCCUUCUUCUGGAUAACCGCAUGAAAGUGUGGCUAAUACGGGAUAUUCUGGGUCUGUCGCAUGAUGGGUCUGGGAAAGAUAUUGUUUCGGUGGGGGAUGGGCUCGCGGCCUAUCAGCUUGUUGGUGGGGUGAUGGCCUACCAAGGCGGUGACGGGUAGCCGGCCUGAGAGGGUGGACGGUCACACGGGGACUGGGACACGGCCCAGACUCCUACGGGAGGCAGCAGUGGGGAAUAGUGCACAAUGGGCGCAAGCCUGAUGCAGCGACGCCGCGUGAGGGAUGGAGGCCUUCGGGUUGUGAACCUCUUUCGCCAGUGAAGCAGGCCUGCCUCGUUUGUGGGUGGGUUGACGGUAGCUGGAUAAGAAGCGCCGGCUAACUACGU